UCUAUCUAUAAGUCUUGACCAAAUUACGUGCCAGCAGUCGCGGUAACACGUAGAAGACUAGUGUUAUUCAUCUUUAUUAGGUUUAAAGGGUACCUAGACGGAAAAUCAAGCCAUAAUAGGGACUAAUUUUCUAGAGUUUUAUGAGAGAAGGGGUGAAUUUCCGGAGGAAAGUUGAUAUUUAGUGAUACUGGAAGGACGGGUAACGGCGAAGGCAACCUUGUAUGUAAAAACUGACGUUGAGGGACGAAGCCUUGGGUAACGAGAAGGAUUAGAUACCCUAGUAGUCCUUGGAGACAAUUAUGAAUGUCAUAGGCUAGAUAAUUUAGCCUAUAAAUGAAAGUGUAAGCAUUCCACCUCAUGAGUAAAGCGGCAACGCCCAAAUUGAAAUCAUUAGACCGUUUCUGAAACCAGUAGUGAAGUAUGUUAUUUAAUUCGAUGAUCCGCGAAUAACCUUACCACAAUAUGCAUUGAAUAUUAUUCAAUUAUUACAAGCGCUGCACGGCUGUCUUCAGUUAAUGUCGUGAGAUUUUGGUUCGUUCCUUUAAUUAACGAAAACCCUUGCUUUAUUUGUUUUUAUAAAGUAGUUCACCGUGAUAUUGGAUGAGAUAAUAGGGACUAAGACAAGUCAUCAUGGCCUUAAUAGC
rnacentral:rRNA from 1 species